CCUACGGGUGGCAGCAGUGAGGAAUAUUGGUCAAUGGGCGCGAGCCUGAACCAGCCAAGUAGCGUGAAGGAUGACUGCCCUACGGGUUGUAAACUUCUUUUAUAAAGGACUAAAGUGAGGCACGUGUGCCUUUUUGUAUGUACUUUAUGAAACAGGAUCGGCUAACUCCGUGCCAGCAGCCGCGGUAAUACGGAGGAUCCGAGCGUUAUCCGGAUUUAUUGGGGUUAAAGGGAGAGUAGAUGGGUUGUUAAGUCAGUUGUGAAAGUUUGCGGCUCAACCGUAAAAUUGCAAUUGAUACUGGCAGCCUUGAGGACAGUUGAGGUAGGCGGAAUUCGGGGUGUAGCGGUGAAAUGCUUAGAUAUCACGAAGAACUCCGAUUGCGAAGGCAGCUUACUAAACUGCCACUGACAUUGAUGCUCGAAAGUGUGGGUAUCAAACAGGAUUAGAUACCCUAGUAGUC
rnacentral:rRNA from 1 species